GGGUCAGUAGGUUGGUCGUGCCACCGGUACGUACUGGUCUCACUGAUUCCUCCUUCCUGAAGAACCGUAAUGCCAUUAAUUUGGUGUUGCGGGGAAACAGGACUGUGACUUUGAAAAAAUUAGAGCGUUCAAAGCAAGCUAACGCUUGAAUACAUUAGCAUGGAAUAAUGAAAUAGGACGAUCGAUCCUAUUUUGUUGGUUUCUAGGAUUGACGUA
rnacentral:rRNA from 1 species